rnacentral:rRNA from 1 species
GAUGAACGCUGGCGGCGUGCUUAACACAUGCAAGUCGAACGGAAAGGCCCAAGCUUGCUUGGGUACUCGAGUGGCGAACGGGUGAGUAACACGUGGGUGAUCUGCCCUGCACUUCGGGAUAAGCCUGGGAAACUGGGUCUAAUACCGGAUAGGACCACUUCUUGGAUGUUGUGGUGGAAAGUUUUUUCGGUGUGGGAUGAGCUCGCGGCCUAUCAGCUUGUUGGUGGGGUAAUGGCCUACCAAGGCGUCGACGGGUAGCCGGCCUGAGAGGGUGUACGGCCACAUUGGGACUGAGAUACGGCCCAGACUCCUACGGGAGGCAGCAGUGGGGAAGAUUGCACAAGGGGCGCAAGCCUGAUGCAGCGACGCCGCGUGGGGGAUGACGGCCUUCGGGUUGUAAACUCCGUUCGCUAGGGACGAAGCGUUUUGUGACGGUACCUGGAGAAGAAGCACCGGCUAACUACGUG